UCUAAUAUGGCAGAUUAGUGUAUUGAACUUAAGAUUCAAAUAUGAACCUUAAGUUCUAUUAGAA
rnacentral:tRNA from 1 species